GUGAAUACCCGAGCACAUUUCUCUGUUGGCAUAUAGCUCAGAUCCAGGCUAAUAGCAAUGCCUUCUCUUUAAAAGGUUUUAAGUUAUAUAAUGUGGGCAGUUCCUCGCUUGUUUUGGAUCCACCUGGAAAUCAGCAGCUCCCUGAUUGCCACCACCAGCAUCUGCCUGGGUGCAGUUGUGCUGUACAGCUUCAGGUUACAAAGAGAGCUGAAACUUCCAGACAUAUGGUGCUCGAUUCCCAACUGGUAAUUGCAUCAACUUAGGAUCAAUGGAGUGGAAUAAUAUCUGCCCACUAAUAACAGUCUAAUAAAAUUAAUAGCAUUGGCUAUGCCAUGAAUUACUUUAAAGUAGGGAUUGGAGGAUAGUAACGUAAACAAGCAUUGAUUUUCCUCAGGGAAAUGGACUGCUGUGUCUCCUCAGAGCAGGCUUUUGGAGGGCUGCGCUGCUGCUGUGGCAGUGCCUUUGCUCCUUGCGGGGUCACUGAAUGUCCACCACUUUAUUUGUGCUGUUCCCAUCGAACAUCAUGCUUGUGUGUUUGCAGCAUCCUGCUGCUGCUGGCUUUCUCAAAGCCCUGGGGAGCAAAGCUCUCUGACAUGCACAGCCCAUGCAUCACAUCUUGGUGAGCAGAGGCUGCGAGGCCAUGCUGAGGUUGCUGACGUGUCCUUCUGCAGUGUGCAGGGAGUCACUUAUCUCCCUCCUGAACACCGCGUUUUAAAGACAGCCUGCUUUAUUUUUAGCUUUUAAUGUGGUGUAAUUUUGAGCUGCUGCAUUCAAGCAGAUGGACAUUUGGUGUCCGGAUAGACAACACAACAUAAAGUAACAAUCAUCUGGUUCCUCUCCAUCUGGAUUUGCCAAACAAAUCAUUAUAGCGAAACUCCUUCAGAGAGGAGACUGAGCUCAUUGGCACCAACAUGCCAUAAGCGACAGAAGACGCCCGACUCCACACAAUACAUCCAUCCCAAUCCCCUGCUGGAAAUCAGGGAGGUUAAAAAUAAAAACCCUUUGAGUUUUGACUGUUUACACAGCUGUAGCAUAAAUAUUUAGAUUUGCGAUAGAAACGCUUGCUCAGCCAAAACCCUUCCCAGAUCUCUGCAGUCAGCAGCGGGGCUUUAUAGAGGCCUGGCGUUUCCUUGGAAAACUGAAACUGAUGAUAAUGAAAGCCGAGAGCAACGUCCAUCUGUGGUGCCGCAGCACCAGGGACACGGGUGACACUCACCAAGGGACACCGGGCAUGGGUACGGACACGGGGCCACGGGCAGCAGCCCCAGAUGCAUCCUCCAUCCUCCUGGCACCACCUCGUGGCCUGGGCCGUGUCGGCUCCUUCCAUCUCUUCACCUGCUGAAAGCCACGGAGAGGAUUUCCCACCCGGCAAACCGUCGCUUUAGGAGCACCGUAAGGUUUCGUAGGGUCUGCUCUGAGACUGCCACAGGGCUCCUUGGACUGAAAAUUCAGCUCCUAGGAAUAAGUAAGAAAAGGAAAAGGACUUCCCACUGAUAUUUGGUGUUUUGGGUCCUGUUGUUUCAAAUGUUUCAGUUUGGCGGCGCACUCUGGGACCCCACCUGUUCUGGGAUGAGCACGGGCAGGCCGCAGCAUGGAUAAAGCUUUUUCCCACCCCCAUCAUCACUUGCUGUCAGCGACGUUCUCAGAUGUGGGACCUUAAACUAGGCUGGCAGAGCAGGUAGCAAAACCAACACCACGAGCACCUGAGACAUCUCCAGCCCUCCAGGUUGGCCUGGGAAAUUGUGAGUGACAAGAACUGGCGCAAUUAGGCCCGGUCAUCCCAGGUUAUCACCAGCAUCCUACAACCCUGCUGCUCCGUCCUCUCCUUCCCCCAGAACUUUGCUCUCUCAUUAAUCGAAACAAACUUUCUGUCACUGCUGAUUGCAUUACCCGGUAUCAGCUGCCUGGAAGGAUGAAAAUAAAAGCUGGGAAGCGUGCUCCUUCUGUCCAAAUAGAGAGGUGCCAAGGAGUGUAAUAUAAUCAGGCCAUGAUCAAAUUAAGUGGAAGAGACUGCACCGUGCCCACAAAAUAUCUGUCCCCGUGAUUAAUUUGAGGUUUGGUCCCUGUUUGCUGAUGCGAUUGGAGGUCCCUGCAAUGUGGGAGAGGCUGGGAGACCACAGCCGGGGCUUGGAGAGGUGUCCCCACUGCACCUCCCCAUCAAAGUGCCCAAACUGCCUCUCCAGCAAAGGAAAAGGCCUCAGGGCAGCUGAGCCUCACAGCCGGGCUGCAUCCUGCACAGAGCUUUCCUCCUUUGGGACAGCAGGAAGUGAAGAAGAGCAGAUGAGGGACAAAAGGAAAAGCUCGCUGUGAGCUUGGAAGGAAAAUCCACACAGCAUUUAUAUUGGAGGGAAGAAAAUGAGGAUUUACGGCUGUGGAAAGACUUGAGGCAGGGCCCCAGCACUGAGCACACCUCGAAUCAUGAUGGAUCUCCCAGCUGCUGCAGCUAAUG
ensembl:lncRNA